rnacentral:rRNA from 1 species
AUUGAACGCUGGCGGCAUGCCUAACACAUGCAAGUCGAACGGCAGCACGGGGGCAACCCUGGUGGCGAGUGGCGGACGGGUGAGGAAUACAUAGGAAUCUACCCUGUCGUGGGGGAUAACGUAGGGAAACUUACGCUAAUACCGCAUACGACCGAGAGGUGAAAGUGGGGGACCGCAAGGCCUCACGCGAUUGGAUGAGCCUAUGUCCGAUUAGCUAGUUGGCGGGGUAAGAGCCCACCAAGGCGGCGGUCGGUAGCUGGUCUGAGAGGAUGAUCAGCCACACUGGAACUGAGACACGGUCCAGACUCCUACGGGAGGCAGCAGUGGGGAAUAUUAGACAAUGGGGGCAACCCUGAUCCAGCAAUGCCGCGUGGGUGAGGAAGGCCUUCGGGUUGUAAAGCCCUUUUGUACGGGAAGAAAAGCUCUGGAUUAAUACUUCGGGGUCAUGACGGUACCGUAAGAAUAAGCACCGGCUAACUACGUGCCAGCCGCCGCAGUAAAAC